rnacentral:lncRNA from 1 species
GCCCCUGAAAGUUUGGACUUUCGGCUCUGGAGGGGAGUUUCGGCCGCCGAACCUGCCCCCGAAAGUGGGUGACUUUCGGCUCUGGAAGGACUUUCGGCCGCCGAACCCUGCCCCUGAAAGUGCCUGACUUUCGGCUCUGGAGGGACUUUCGGCCGCCGAACCUGCCGCCGAAAGUGCCCUGUCUAGCCUUCCUUUGCAUGUUUUC